GCCGUCACCAUCUCUCUUUCCUUCCUUUUCCUUUUCCUUUCCAGCCCGGAUCAAUUGUGUGAAGCUUUACUUUUCCAUAAAUAUUUCUACUCCUUUCACCAACCUCAGCUUCAAUGUUAUUUUCAUAACUCACUGUUUAUCACUUGUGAUUUUUGUUCAUCACCUGCGAUUUUCAUCUCCAGACAAAAGCUUGAAAACGGUACAAGUCAGUGUUUAUAUCUUUGAUAAUUUACAGGGAAAGGGACAGUUUGUUGGAGUUCUCAGCGUUUUAGAUUUUAAGAGAGGUAUGUAAGUUCUCAGCGUUUUGGAUAUAAGAGAAGUGAAGAUAUUGCGAGCUAUGACUGGUCAUAUGAAUCUGGUAUGAUUCUAUGAAGCCUAUGAAGAUUAUGCAAAGAAGGUGAAGUGCUAGAUAAGCUUCUUUCCAGGUGAAAUUAGGAGGCUAGAGGACUUGAUGCUUGGCACGUUUGGUGCAAAAAUUAGUUGGCUUUGGAGAUAAUAGGACAUCUAAAAUUGUGGCUAGAAUUGCUGACGAGAAAGUUGCACAUGUAGCAGUGGUAAUUUAGUUGGUAAUGUUAUAACUUGUCUAUAUCUAUUGUUGAUAUGUUCAUAUUUUGUCUCUUCUCUCGUAUUUAUAUUGUGAUUUCAUCAUCUAUUCAAUAUUCACUUCUUUUAUUUAAACAUUUUGUAGUAUUGCACAUGCACUAGAGUUUUACAAUGGCUAUAUUUUGUUGAUUAUAAUCUGCAAUUGCAGACAUGCCAAUGAUAUAUUUGAAAUAUGACUAAGACAUACUGCUCAAUACAUCUUUGCAUAUUUUCAUAUUGAAUUGGAUUUUAUGAACCAUAUGUUAUGAAGCUAUGUGAAGAUCAAAUGGGCCAACCUCUUUCUGCCUUUUAGAUUCAGGCCAACCUUCCUGAUAAAUUGCUUUCAAAUAUUGAAGCUACAACUCAUUUGUUCAUAUUGACACUAAUUGUUCUGCGCAUAAAGGUAGUUUUUCUUUGCACAUCCAUACUGAUUAUUUUGAUUAUUUUAUUUGUUAUAUUUUAAUCUUUAAAAAUGGAGUGUUUGAGAACCUAAAAGAAAGAGGUAUAUCAGAUCCAAGAUCUGAAUGACAUGUUAAGUUCGUUUGCAAAAUCCGAAGUGAGUGACUGAUCUUUAUUACUACUCAAUGUUGGUAUGAAAGUGUUUUAUGCUUUCUCCAAAGAAAACAUCUUAAAUUUUUGCGUGCUUCCAUAUAAACAAGUUGGUUCGUUCUUGGGAAUCAGCGAUGAUAAUCAAGUAUAUGAUAAGAUGCAUAUGGAUUUAAGAUAUUAUGAUAUUGUUGUUGAUAAUCAGGUAGCCAUGUCAACUAUGUCUGAAUAUGAGCAAACUAUAAAGAAUGCUUCCGUUCAUAAUUUUUCGAAUUUCAUUGAGUUGGAGGCAUAUAACCUUGAUGUGCUACUGUCAGAGCCAAUCUUUAAUCAGAAUCAAUUGACUUCGCAUUCUUAGGAGUCACUAUCAAUUGAUGAGGUAUGCUAGAUACUUUUGUGGAGGGGUUAAAAUAAGAGGGAUAAGAAAAUUGUUUGAUAGUUUCAGUAUAUGUUAAUUAGUUUCAAAUUAGGUAGAUUUCCUAACUCAUAUCCCAACUGAAAAUGGUUUGAUAGUUUUUAGUAUAUGUUGCACAUCUUUGUUUCUAGCAAGUGGUUGUGUAUUGUGUUGAUUUUUCUCAACUUUUCUCCAUAAUUACCAAUUUUGUUGCAACGAGGAAAUUUCUUGUGGUGGUAAUUUAUCUAUUUGUGAUUUAGUAAGGAAUUAGCUUGGUUAUGUAUCUUUAGAUUUGUUGGGUAUUACCUUAUAAUUCCUUUUAUGAAGCAUUUUAACUAUCCUCAUAAUGAAUUAACAAAUAACUUAAUCAUUCUCAGAGAUUAGUUCUUUGGAAGUAUUAAUAGCAUAUAGAAGAUUAAACUUGCUAUAGAGUUCAAUGAUGAAAGUGCUCACAACUUAUCAUCCUUAAAGCAAGCAGGGCAAUGCGGCCCAAAACAAGCUUCUAAAAAUGUAGAAAGUCUGAAAGUGCUUCCAAGAGUUUUAACCACACAAUUCUUGAUGUACAAUCUGGAAAUUCUUGCUGUGUGUGAAUGGAAAUAAAUUUUUACAAGUUGAACAAGAAUACACCGUGUGCAUAUAUGAUGGACCGUGUGCAUAU